UUUUGGGAUGUGGGAGGAAACCGGAGUGCCCGGAGAAAACCCACGCAGGCACGGGGAGAAAGGCACGAUGCAGGACAACAAAGGAGUGGCUCAAGAAGAAGCAUCAUUAGUAAGGUCAUUGAGUGGUUGAUCCAGUCUCCAGACCUCAACCCAUUAGAAAACCUGUGGAGGGAGCUGACGCUUUCAAGAAGAGUUAAGGAUUUUGAGCGUUUCUAUUUCCCUCCUCCCUCCUCCAAAAGUCUUGCGUCGUGGAGUCAGGAUGAGCUUAAUAAAGGGGAAUCAAAAUACAAGAACGUGUUCGAACGUGACGAUGACGCGGGAAAUUGGACUGAUUGAUGGAGCAAUCCGGAGGUGGAACUGUGGAAGGCAGAGUGGUAAAAAUGCGGAGUUGAGCAGACAAUCAUCAUUAUGUAUGUGUGUGUGUGGACCGCCAUCCCGCUCAAUCCCAGCACCCAGGCCACUAUAAUUUACCGGGUCUUCCGUAACUAGCCAUCGACAUGGAGGAGAUGAAGACAAAGCAAGGGGAAAGGCAAAGGGUCAACAGCUACAUAAACCUCUGUGUAACGAGCAAUAUUUGUAUACCGGCAGGACGGUCGGCGGGAGUCGUGCGUCACACGCAGACGUGGGACCCCGUUAGUCAAGAGUCCAGCAGCUCACGGGUGCGCGAAAAAGAAAAACAAUGUGCAAAAUUGACUUUUUAACAGUUCGUAUGAAAAGAGUUGGGUCUCUAGUUUGCCUGCCAACCUAUUAAAUGUAAAAUUAAACAAGCAAGUAAUUAUAGAAUUUGCUUGUAGAAAAAGCGAAGGACAAUGACAUAAUUCAAAAUUUGCUUUACUUUUGAUACCGUAUGAUGACCAUUUUCUGACAUGUUACGGACCAAACCAGUAACUGGGUCAUAAUCAAUUUAUGUUUGUGUAUUUUCUGCACUGUCAAUUUGAAAUAAUGUACUGUUUUUAAAUAAAGAGAAGGACAUUUAAAAAAAAACAAAAAACAGAUUUUAUU